GAUGAACGCUGGCGGCGUGCCUAAUACAUGCAAGUCGAGCGAACGGACGAGAAGCUUGCUUCUCUGAUGUUAGCGGCGGACGAGUGAGUAACACGUGGAUAACCUCCCUAUAAGACUGGGAUAACUACGGGAAACCGGAGCUAAUACCGGAGAAUAUUUUGAACCGCAUGGUUCAAAAGUGAAAGACGGUCUUGCUGUCACUUAUAGAUGGAUCCGCGCUGCAUUAGCUAGUUGGUAAGGUAACGGCUUACCAAGGCAACGAUGCAUAGCCGACCUGAGAGGGUGAUCGGCCACACUGGAACUGAGGCACGGUCCAGACUCCUACGGGAGGCAGCAGUAGGGAAUCUUCCGCAAUGGGCGGAAGCCUGACGGAGCAACGCCGCGUGAGUGAUGAAGGUCUUCGGAUCGUAAAACUCUGUUAUUAGGGAAGAACAUAUGUGUAAGUGACUGUGCACAUCUUGACGGUACCUAAUCAGAAAGCCACGGCUAACUACGUG
rnacentral:rRNA from 1 species